GUUGUAUAAUUGCCAUUACAUUAGCGUUAAGAGAAGUCUGAAAGGGGGUUUAUACUUGUGACAAAACAGCAACUUUGUCCCAAUUUUCAAGUAAAGAAAACUGAAAAGAAAGCAUGUGAAGCAGCAUGUCCAACGCAGUUUCAAAACUCUCACUGAUGUUCAACAAGUGUCCUUUAUCCCUCCUCCCUCUUUUCACAUGCACCAUUUUAGUUGGCAGUGGAGAGAGCACGGACAACUUGAGUGUAUGAGCAUGAGGGAGAAAGAGCGUGCAUGUUGGGUAGGUAGGGACAUAAGAGAGGGAAGGUGAGGCUGAGUCUUCACGGCCCCCGGAGUUCUGUAAAGGAUUGUUUGUACAGCGUGAGGGGAAAAAAAAUGUAAACAUGUCACUUUUCAUUAGGGCUCCAUUCCUCCCCAGGCAGGCAAAGAAAGUGAUGCCUCUAUACCUCCCCUUUUGUUCAUCCUCCUCAUCAGCAGCAUGUAAUUGUGGGGUUUGUCUUUGACUUUGAAAACCACAGAAACAACAGAAGAGUGGUGGAGAGAGGAGACAGAAAAGUUCUGUUGGAACAAAGCCCUGACAUCUCGGUGUGCACGCGAAGAAGAGAGGACAGAGAGGCUGGAUCUCCUGACCCCGUGUGAAACUCGGCAGCACACAUUCCACCACAGUCCACCCUGCUCUGGGAAAGUCGGGCCAUGCUGCACGAGAGACGGAGAGAGCGAGGAAGGGAGGGACCGAGAGAGAGAGAGCUUAGAGGAAAAUGGAAGAUAGACAGGAGAAAAGGAAAAAGGGGAUUAAAGAAAGAGACAAAAACUAGUGUUGGGUGAGGCUCACAGUGUUUGGUGUGACAUACUGGACUGAGCUGAGACUCCAUCUCUGUCUCUCCUCCGUCUCCUCCAUCCUCUAAUCCCCCAGAUUCCCCUGCAUAUUUCCCCUUUCUCCUCUCUGGGAUGUACAAGUCUCAGUUUGAUGAGUCAUGCAUUGCUACUGCUAUAUUUGUGCCCUAAACCCCAAUUGGGUUCCUCUUUCUGCAUAGUCAAACGGGCUUUUAAAGGAUUUCUGCAGCUUCAGGAGGCUUCAAACUGUGACCAACACUGGUCGGAUAAUGUUCGGUGAACACAAAAUAAAUGUAUAUAUACAGUUCAGUCUAUAAAUGUUUGGACUGGGAUACAUUC